ensembl:snoRNA
CUUCCUUUUGUUGGCAUACAUGUGGUGGUUCAGUACACGUGUGUAAUGGGCGGAGGUAAAGAAAUGCCAGUGCUAUGUCUUCGGUGCCAGCAUGUUUAUUGUCUUCUGGUUCAAUCCUCAAUCACUGGAACAAGC